GGUGGUCUGCAAGGGAGGUGAUGAUGGUGGUUGUUUUGCUUCUUCAAUUCAAAAUACACAAUAAAGACAAGAUUCUAUUCUUUUAUUGUUUGAUGAUUCUGGAGUGGAGCCAUUUUGUUUUGCCUUUUGAUAUCUGUUGCUGCAUCAGUUAAAGCCAACCGAUACUACACACAUCCAGGAAUGAGGCCUACACGGUUUACGGGCAGCCAAUUAUCAUGCCUUUUGGCCAUACAAUUGAACAUGAAGAGAUGCUUGAAGUUGUAAUAUUUGAAGGUCAAGCACUUGGACAAGAGGAUUCUUUUAUGUCACGUGGCAUUCAUCUCUUGUAACAUUUAGGAGCGGAUUUCUUAAGCUCGGGCUCGGUGGUUGUUAUUGAAAGAUCUUUGACAACAUCAACAUGCCAUUUUGUGUUUUCUUUAAAGA
rnacentral:lncRNA from 1 species